UUUACUUUGAUGAUAUGAUUAAUGAGAGAAUAUUAUAUACUGUGAAUUAAUGAUUAAAUGCAUUACUUGAAAUAUUAUUGAAUGAUCAAGAUGUUGAAAUAAAUUGUUAUUAAGCUUGACAUGAAUUGAUUAUGCUGUAAUUGUUGUUAAACUAAGUUGCAUGAGUUGUUGUUGAUUAUCAUUUGAUAUUGUUAUAUCUUGAGAUGUUUACGUGUCGCCUAUGUUGCUGUUGUUGGUUAUGUGAAAUAUUUAUAUGACUUAUGUGAAAG
rnacentral:lncRNA from 1 species